AGCGAACGCUGGCGGCAGGCCUAACACAUGCAAGUCGAGCGCCGUAGCAAUACGGAGCGGCAGACGGGAGAGUAACACGUGGGAACGUACCCUUUGGUUCGGAACAACCCAGGGAAACUUGGGCUAAUACCGAAUAAGCCCUCACGGGGAAAGAUUUAUCGCCGAAGGAUCGGUCCGCGUGUGAUUAGCUAGUUGGUGAGGUAAUGGCCCACCAAGGCGACGAUCAGUAGCUGGUCUGAGAGGAUGAUCAGCCUCACUGGGACUGAGACACGGCCCAGACUCCUACGGGAGGCAGCAGUGGGGAAUAUUGGACAAUGGGCGCAAGCCUGAUCCAGCCAUGCCGCGUGGGUGAUGAAGGCCCUAGGGUUGUAAAGCCCUUUCGGCGGGGAAGAUAAUGACGGUACCCGCAGAAGAAGCCCCGGCUAACUUCGUGCCAGCCGCCGCCGUAA
rnacentral:rRNA from 1 species